rnacentral:piRNA from 1 species
UUGGGAGGUUUUUGGAAGAAGUAG